GAGGAAGGCACUUCCGGGAAUAGAGCUGGGGGCCCGGAGGUCCGGCGGUCCCCUCCCUCGGCUGUCAGCUCCGCUUCCAGGCCCUCUGGGGGUCGGGCCCUGGGGUGUGGAGAGGGGGAGCGGCAGUGAUCUAUUCAGGGGGAGUCAGGGGUCCUGGGCUGGGCUCCUCCUCUGACACUUUCCAGAAACGCGAUACUGAACGAUUAUCUUGACCGCGCACGGCCUUGGCUUUCUCCACUUGCGGAAACAGCAUAAUUUAUAGAGAUCUUAAAUUGCGUGUUGUCUGUUGUCAUUUUUUUGGGGUCUUCUUUCCCAGAAGGUCAAGUGUUUGAGCUCCUUAUCACUCUGGAGUGAGAGGGAAGACUGCAGAGCUGAGGAAGAGCUUUGCUGUGGCCAGAGAAGAGGCAGGGGCAGGGCUUCCAGAAGGAGUCCCGAGAACGCGGUCCUGUCGCACUGCCAGCUCUCAGGAAAGGGCCACCUUGGAAUGCCAUCCCUACAUGUGGCACGCAGACCCCUACAAGGCACCAACCGGCCCAAGGCGACGGCCCAUAGGGAUAACCAGGCAGACAGAAAAUCAGAGGGGCCGCCUUGAGUGUUCUCUGCUUACGACUCUGGGGCCUUUACGUUCUGAACAACUGAAAGGAACUGGGGAGAGAAGUGAGAAUGGGAGAAAAAGGGCAUCUUUUUUUUUUUUUUUUUUGAAUUGCAUCUUUUUUUUUUGCUAUGUUUUUAAAUUUUUUACUUGAAUUUAAUUUUUAACUUGAUUUAUAAUAUUGUGUUAGUUUUCCACUUACAGAAGAGGGAUUCAGCAUUUCUGCAGAUCCCAUCCCGUUAUAGGUUAUUAUAAAACAUGAGUUAUAAUGCCCUAUGGUCUGCAGUAGAUCACUGUUGGGUCUCUGUUUUACGUACUGUCAUUUCUAUCUGCUAAUCCCAGGCUCAGAAUUUGUCCCUCCCUUUGGUACCCACAAGUUUGUUAUCUAUGUCUGUGAGUCUGCUUCUGUUUUGUAUAUACAUUCAUCUGUAAUAUUGUUUAAGUUCCACAUACAAGUGAUAUCACAAUAUUUGUCUCUCUCUGUCUGACAUAUCUAUCAAUAAGGGUAAUAUUCCCCAGGUACAUCCUCAUUGCUGUAAAUGGCAGUUGUUAGGGUUGAGAAAUAUUCCAUUGUAUAUGUAUGUAUAUACCAUAUCUUCUUAAUCUAAUCGUCUGUUAUACUAGGGGUGUUUCCAUGUCUUCGCUAUUGUAAGUAGUGCUGCUGUGAACAUGCAGAUGCCUGUAUCUUUUUGAGUUAGUAAUUUUGUUUAUUUCCAGAUAUACCCCCAGAAGUGGAAUUGCUGGAUCAUAUGACAAUUCUAUUGUUCAGGUUUUUUUUUAAAUUGGAGUAUAUUAAUAGUUUCUUUACAAUGUUGUGUUAAGGACUGCAUUACUUUGAUUUAGUAAAAAUGACCUGAGUUUCCAGAGCAAAAUUCCUAUUGUCCAAAUAUAAAUAAAAUGGAGACAGCCUAGCGU
ensembl:lncRNA